UGCCGCGCGGGGUGGCGGGAUCGCGCCCUUUCGGGGCGAGACCGAUAUCUUCAUCUAUCCCGGGUUCGAGUUCCGCGUGGCAG
rnacentral:tRNA from 1 species